AAAAUAUGUUUUUUAGUUUUUGCGGAUGGUGCAAUGUCCACGUUCCGAUUUAUCGUUUUGUUUGUUCAAUGCUGAAUAUAAUCACGUAUGGCAAAGAACCUCCAGCAAUGUUACAUGUCAGUGACGGCGGACAUUUUGAAAACUAUGGCCUGUUACCACUGUUGAAGUUGCGACUACCGAAAAUCCUUCUCGUUCAUGGUUUGGAAAUUAAAUCGGAUGACGACUACGCCAGGGAUAUCAUAGUGGCAAUGGAGCAUGCGCGAAAGUUAUUCAAUUGCUCCUUUACUUCAAUGGCUGGAAAUGACGUGUUGAAUGACAUAGAGGAAAAGUACGGAAGAGAUGUGUUAGAUCAUAUAAGAAAACAUAAUUGUGGAGACGUUGUGUUGAAUUAUAUAAACAACCAGUUGGGCGGCGAUGUGUUGACAGAUAUAAAGAAUGAGUUUGUCGAAAAACGUUCAAGGAAAUACGAAUUCAAAGUUCAUUACUCAAAAAAUAAUUCAGAGGGUAGGUAUAUAUUUCAACACAUUAAACCCAAAGUGUUCAGCAUACAGUAGUGCUCAGGCAUUCAAAUUAUAACAAUAGGAUAAUUUCUAUAGAGGGGGGGGGGGACACACUGUACAUCGUACAUUCAAGUAUGACCGUAUGAUGAUUAUACAUGUGCGUGUACAUGUAGUUGUUAUUUUUAUGUAGGUGACAAUGGAGUUAGCGUAGGGCAUAUUGUCCUUAUUGCUCCACGCUUACCUGACGGGGUUGGUGCGGGGUCCGAGGAAAAUCCUACAUGCUCAGACGCAUUAGAGAAAUUUCAGCAUCAAGGCGAAGGCGGGCCUGGACGGGGUAAUGCGAGCACGUCGGAGAGAAAUCGCCAAAAUUAUCCCAAAUGGCAACAUAAAGAUUGUGAAGGAAGAGAUUUGGAUAAAAAGUGGGGUCUGGGGCCGUAUCUGACGAAAGGUGAUGUGAAGAAUAUUGAAGGAUGCCCCGGAGGUAUUGGUUGUUGUGAGUGCUGUCAUAAAAAUUGGUGUGGCAGCUGUUUCAAAUUUCCUCGUCACCCAACAGCAAACCAGUUUUAUACUCCUUCAAUGUUUACUGCUUAUCACAGAGAAGGAUACAGAGUGUGCAUGGAAUGCAACGAGUUUUUAGAAAAAUAAACUAUUGAAUAACUAAAUUUUUGUGUUUACCAGGUAGUGGGCAGCCAUCUCAUAUUAAAACUCCAGUAGAGAACCAAUCGAUGACCAUCGAAUUAUUCUAUUGCAAGUCUUGCAAUAAUCUGUAACAAUUGUGCAAUAAUUUAGUUUCUGAAGAUGUUUGUAGUUAGGAAACGUUAGAUAUAUGUAAAUAUGAGGAAUUUUUAUAAAAUGAAAUUGUGUAUAAUUUUAUGCUGAGCUUUAACCCAUUGAGUGGCAGCACCCUCCCCUUCACAUAAUUGGGUUUAAAAUAAACAUAUAUGAUGAUUAAUGUGAGAUGGGGAAUACUUACUUGCGGCUUAAAGAGCUACGUUUUCACGAAAAAGAAACACGUUUUCACGAAAC